AUGGUACGUAAUUUUUGGUGGGGCUCCUCGGAGAGGAAGCGGAAAACCCAUUGGAUAGCCUGGCCGAAAAUUUAGAAACAUAAGUCGUGUGGUGGAUUGGGCUUUCGAGAUUUCAGGGUGUUCAAUCAAGCACUGCUGGCGAGGCAGGCAUGGAGGCUUCUAACAAAGCCUGACAGUCUUUGCGCGCAGGUUCUUAAAGCCCGAUAUUAUCUGGAGGGACGGCUUGAGGAUACGGUCUUUUCGAGUAAUGCAUCUGUAACUUGGCAAACCAUUCAAUAUGGCCUAGAGCUUUCGAAAAAAGGCCUUAUUUGGAGGGUGGGCAGCGGGACACAAAUCCGUAUUUGGCAUGACUGGUGGCUGCCUCGGGAGCCGUCGGGCACGCUCAUCUCGCCUCAGGGGACCUGCAGACUUCAGCGGGUCGCUGACCUCCUCGACGCCAAUGGCGGCUGGCGGUUGGGUCUUCUUCGACAGUACUUCCUGCCAGUCGACAUCGACAUAAUCGUCCGCAUCAAAAAGUCACCACGUGUCCCCGACGACGUGCUCGCGUGGGCACCGGAGAAGUCUGGCAUCUUCUCCGUUCGGUCUGCAUAUCGCUUUGCCAUGGACGAGAGCGAGCGUCCUACAGCAAGUUGUAGGAUCGAAAGUAUGUCUAGAGGGGGGUGA
rnacentral:rRNA from 1 species